GAUGAACGCUGGCGGUGUGCCUAAUACAUGCAAGUCGAGCGAACGGACGAGAAGCUUGCGUCUCUGAUGUUAGCGGCGGACGGGUGAGUAACACGUGGAUAACCUACCUAUAAGACUUGGAUGACUUCGGGAAACCGGAGCUAAUACCGGCUAAUAUUUUGAACCGCAUGGUUCAAAAGUGCAUGACGGUUUUGCUGACACUUAUAGAUGGUUCCGCGCUGCAUUAGCUAGUUGGUAAGGUAACGGCUUACCAAGGCUACGAUGCAUAGCCGACCUGAGAGGAUGAUCAGCCACACUGGAACUGAGACACGGUCCAGACUCCUACGGGAGGCAGCAGUAGGGAAUCUUGCGCAAUGGGCGAAAGCCUGACGGAGCAACGCCGCGUGAGUGAUGAAGGUCUUCGGAUCGUAAAACUCUGUUAUUGGGGAAGAACAUAUGUGUAAGUAACUGUGCACAUCUUGACGGUACCUAAUCAGAAAGCCACGGCUAACUACGUG
rnacentral:rRNA from 1 species